CAGCAGCCGCGGUAAUACAGAGGGUGCAAGCGUUAAUCGGAAUUACUGGGCGUAAAGCGCGCGUAGGUGGUUUGUUAAGUUGGAUGUGAAAGCCCCGGGCUCAACCUGGGAACUGCAUCCAAAACUGGCAAGCUAGAGUACGGUAGAGGGUGGUGGAAUUUCCUGUGUAGCGGUGAAAUGCGUAGAUAUAGGAAGGAACACCAGUGGCGAAGGCGACCACCUGGACUGAUACUGACACUGAGGUGCGAAAGCGUGGGGAGCAAACAGGAUUAGAGACCCCAGUAGUCCCUGUCUCUUAUAC
rnacentral:rRNA from 1 species